rnacentral:lncRNA from 1 species
CAGAUCUUUGUGAAGAUUCUGACAGGCAAGACCAUCAGCCUCCAAGUUGAACCUAGUGGCACCAUCAGGAUUGUCAGAGCCAAAAUCUAAAACAAGGUGGGCAUCCCACCUGAUCAGCAGUGUCUGGUUUUUGCAGGCAGACAGGAGGAGAAUGGCUGCCUUCUCUCCAACAACAUUCAGAGAGUGUCCACCUGCCCUUGGCAUGUGGCUGCGGGUCUAGACAAUGAUCUAAUCUUUCCUCUACCAGCUUGCUCAAGGAUACAACCAUGCCAAGAUGAUCCACAAUAAGUGGUAUGCCCACCUGCUGCACCGUGUUGUCAACUGUCGCAAGAAUUGCAGCCACCAAGAAGGUCAAAUAA